UGUUCGAUUAAGCCAUGCGAGUUAAAUGUUCUUCGUGAACAUAGCAGACUGCUCAGUAACACGUGGAUAACCUGCCCUUAGGACUGGCAUAACCCCGGGAAACUGGGGAUAAUUCCGGAUAGACCAUAAAUGCUGGAAUGCUUUAUGAUUGAAAGGUUUCGACCGCCUUAGGAUGGAUCUGCGGCCUAUCAGGUUGUAGUGGGUGUAAUGUACCUACUAGCCUACGACGGGUACGGGUUGUGGAAGCAAGAGCCCGGAGAUGGAUUCUGAGACAUGAAUCCAGGCCCUACGGGGCGCAGCAGGCGCGAAAACUUUACAAUGCGGGAAACCGUGAUAAGGGAACACUGAGUGCUAGCAUUUAUGUUAGCUGUCCACAUGUGUAAAUAGCAUGUGAUAGCAAGGGCUGGGCAAGACCGGUGCCAGCCGCCGCGGUAACACCGGCAGCCCGAGUGGUGAUCACUAUUAUUGGGUCUAAAGGGUCCGUAGCCGGUUUAAUCAGUCUUCUGGGAAAUCUAAUCGCUUAACUAUUAGGCUUCCAGGGGAUACUGUUAGACUUGGGACCGGGAGAGGUAAGAGGUACUGCAGGGGUAGGAGUGAAAUCUUGUAAUCCCUGUGAGACCACCAGUGGCGAAGGCGUCUUACCAGAACGGGUCCGACGGUGAGGGACGAAAGCUGGGGGCACGAACCGGAUUAGAUACCCGGGUAGUCCCAGCUGUAAACGAUGCUCGUUAGGUGUCAGGAACGGUGCGACUGUUUCUGGUGCCGAAGGGAAGCCGUGAAACGAGCCACCUGGGAAGUACGGCCGCAAGGC
rnacentral:rRNA from 1 species